rnacentral:rRNA from 1 species
AACGAACGCUGGCGGCAUGCCUAACACAUGCAAGUCGAACGAGACCUUCGGGUCUAGUGGCGCACGGGUGCGUAACGCGUGGGAACCUGCCCUUAGGUUCGGAAUAACUCCCCGAAAGGGGUGCUAAUACCGGAUAAUGUCUUCGGACCAAAGAUUUAUCGCCUUUGGAUGGGCCCGCGUUGGAUUAGCUAGUUGGUAGGGUAAAAGCCUACCAAGGCGACGAUCCAUAGCUGGUCUGAGAGGAUGAUCAGCCACACUGGGACUGAGACACGGCCCAGACUCCUAGGGGAGGCAGCAGUGGGGAAUAUUGGACAAUGGGCGAAAGCCUGAUCCAGCAAUGCCGCGUGAGUGAUGAAGGCCUUAGGGUUGUAAAGCUCUUUUACACGGGAUGAUAAUGACAGUACCGGGAGAAUAAGCUCCGGCUAACUCCGUG